UACGUAUGGACCGAGCGUUGUCCGGAAUCAUUGGGCGUAAAGGGUACGUAGGCGGUCUAGUAAGUUAGAAGUGAAGUCCUAUAGCUCAACUAUAGUAAGCUUUUAAAACUGCUCAUCUUGAGGUAUGGAAGGGAAAGUGGAAUUCCUAGUGUAGCGGUGAAAUGCGCAGAUAUUAGGAGGAAUACCGGUGGCGAAGGCGACUUUCUGGCCAUUUUCUGACGCUGAGGUACGAAAGCGUGGGUAGCAAACAGG
rnacentral:rRNA from 1 species